GGAAAAGCUGAAAGAAAACGCAAAAUGAAAGGAAAUAUCUAAAAGCGGAAAAUAUCUUCAUCAAAUAUAAAAUAGAAAUUAAGUUUUUGACCCAGAAAGGCACAUGGAGUGCCUGUAAAUUUCUAAUCUCACAAGCUUAAGUUCUCAGCUACCCAACGAUAUGUAGCGAAAAUACCAGACCGAUGCGAAAUCAAGAACUUAAUGGGAAAAUGUGCCACCAAAAAGGGGGGACGACAGCGUGUGGCACGAAUUAGUCCCAGUACCGCCGCCGUCCUGCAAAAGUGCCGGCGGCAACAAUUUUCAUUUAUAUUUUCACUCCUCUUUUUUUUUUCGCCAACAAUUUUUACUUGCACAUUUGCUUGCCAAAAAUGAAGAAAAAAGAAAAAGAAGAUUGUGGAAUGGGAAAAAAGGCAGCGGAACAGAAGAUAUAUAUAAUAAAAAGGAAAGGAAAAUUCGCAACGUUGAUGGAUGAUGAAUAAUGAUUGAAGCCAUGUUGCCAGCCCUUGAAAUGCUCCCCAUUCCAAACUUUUUGUCAUAUAUGGCUGUUGGCGUUUUUACGUUUGCUUAUGUCAAUUUCGCUCCAGGGAAAUUACAUACAUUUCGUUUGUAUCGCCCAAAAAUUAGUAGGUGGCUUGCAAAGCAGCUGCGAGAGGAAAAAAGAAGAAAAAAGAGGAAAACAGCACGAAAUUUGUGGAAAAUUCGUACUCAGAAACAACAACAGCAGAAGAAACCAUAAUUCGGCCUUAGCUGUAAAUGCCCCACAGGCCAAGGGCAAGUUAUCUUCUCGCUCUAACCAACAAAAAUCCCGAAACAACGUAAUUCUCCAGCUCCUUUUCUUCGAGUCCUAAAAAGAUUGUCAUACCAUUUGCCAUUUUCCUUGGAGAACCCAUAAUGCGGUGGAGUUCACUGCUGCUGCUGCUCUCAUAUUUGUUUAUCAGUUUGAGGAGAGCUCGCUUCAUUAAGGCAAAAUAAAUACAAAUUGCAAAUUGG